rnacentral:hammerhead_ribozyme from 1 species
ACUUGCCUGUACUAACGAGUCCCAAAUAGGACGAAACGCGCGUGGUGGAU